rnacentral:tRNA from 1 species
GCCGCCUUAGCUCAGUUGGCUAGAGCGCUUGCCUUGUAAGCUUGAGGUCGUCGGUUCGAUUCCGACAGGCGGCUCCA